UUCAAAUCAAUCUUUAAGCAAACCAUUUAGAGUGAUAAAGUGAUUAGUUAGAGAGUGAUCAAACUUUUGUGCGUCACAAAGAAUCGCAACUGAGGUGGUUUUAGUUUUGGCAGUCUUUAAAAAAGUCUAAUCUCGGCACGUCGUCACAACCAUGUGACAGUUUGCUAUUUUGUACACCUCUUUUUGAUUCACGUGGCAAAUUGCUAUUGUCUGGUACACAAAGUCGUUAAGAUACAAUUAUUUGCAAGUUUCAACUUAUUUGGCAUCAAAACUUGACCUCUGUUUGGACCUAGAUUCAUUAUGAUCACGAUCAUUCUGCAUUAACCGUCUUCUUUAAAAAAAAUCUCUACAUUCUGACGGUUAAUGCCUGUGCACUGUUCUAUGUAUAUGUAGCUCAAGAUAUAAUUCGAAACUUCAUGAAUUUGAAGUUCUUUUGAUCCGACGAGCUAAGGCUAGUUUUCCUUCCACCGUCCAAAAUUUGAAACAAUCGGACAAUGAGAACAUAAAAAUUACUAGUGAUUAUUCGCCGGUGUUAGGAGAAAGUGCCCAUAAAAAUAUCAUGCAGCAUCAGUCAAAGCAAAACUAUAAUAUUUUUUAGCAUACGCACGGAUUCAACACAAUACUACCUUCUAACAAAUACGCAUUAGAGAAAUUAUUUAUAAAUUCAAUGAAAAACAUCUGCAAUUUUCAUUGUGUCGGUGAUUUAAAAAUUAAAUGGCAGAAAAUGUUGCUAAGCUGUUUUGUAAAAAUUACAACCAGAGAACGCAUAAUUCUGUUGAUCACUCAACUUGAACCGAACAAUUUUUGAUCGCAGCAGCUGGUUGAUUCAAACCUGUGACUCAGUUUUAUGUUUAAAACAUGCAGCUAUACAAUACUUUUCAAUAAAAACCAAUAAAACGCAAAAAUUGUUCAAUUCAAUGCUUUCAAGCACUGAACACUACAAUGAACUCUCAAUUGUAAACUAAAAAUAAAACCAAUGAAUGCAAGCCGUGGCGUUUUUAAACAAGUGUAUACCGGCUUUAACACGAUUUUUGGAGCACGUGCCAAAUGUAAAACUCACAUUUGUUGAGAUCUGGUUUCAGACCAGAGGCCGCCGCUGGUUUGCUGUGGCAACUAUUGCAACUGAAUGUUCUUCAGAGUCCAAAAAAGCAACAAAAGGACCUCAGAUUAUAAUCAAAACUAUUAACAGAUCGAAUUGUUUCCUAAAAACAAAUUUUUCGGACUCUUUUCUUCGACUAAAUGACUGAAGUUUUGACCUCAUCACACAUGUUUAAUUGAGCAGAAAAGCGAGAUGCUGAAGUCAAAAAAAAUGCCAAACAAAACAACGAAUCAAGAAAACAGCCAGAUGACGGAAAGCUGCACCAAUGAAUGAGGGAUGAGGGUCGAAUCCUAGUAGGAUCGCACUUUUCAGUGCCAGCAAUACUACUAGGAGCGAGCGACUUUCGAUGGCCCAGUCUCAGCCGGAUGCAAUUAACGAGUCAUUAUUCGAUUACUUAAAAAUUAAAUUGACUUGACCUUUUGACUAAAUCUUCAUCAUCAUACAAGAUAGAACUAAUCAACUUAAUGCCACUUUCGACUUCUAACUUCUUUUCAUUUCUCAGAUUCUGCGUUUCACUGGAAAAGACAAUGGUUUUAUCUUUCCUAAACUUACCUCAUUGAUCUUUUAUAUUACUUUUUCGUCAAUCAAAGAGGGUAUUUUCAAAUAGCUUCAACUUGAUUGGUCGGAUUUACUUAUCAUAUGACGUAAUCAAGCGUCAACUCUGACUCUCAUUGAUUGCCUCACAUAUUUGCUUGCGAGUUCUCUCGGGCCAAUCCGAUGUCAUUUCUCGGACACCCGACUAGACCCAGCAAAGUACCAUGCGAACAAUGUCAAACAUAUCAAACGACUCCGUCUAAAUAUUAGAGGUUGUCGUAGCUCGCCGUUGGUGGUGAAUUAACAGUUCUUGUCAAUGAACCUAAGGCGACCGAGCACAAUUUCUGCGCUUUGACAGAGAGCUUUUGGGUUCACGAAAUGUCACGCAGACCGAAACUCGGUGAAAAAAGACUCAUCGAUCAAACAUUGAAAUUUUCUACUUGAUUGUGGUUUGUGUAUAUAAGUGAAUUGAGCUGAAAUGAAUUGACCCCGGUGCUAAACUUAACCUUCAAUUUUCAUUCUAAUGAAAAAACUUAACUGUAAAUAGAUGGAUUUUCUUUCGAAUAUAUUCCUAAUCAAAUUCA